rnacentral:rRNA from 1 species
UACAGAGGUCUCGAGCGUUGUUCGGAUUCAUUGGGCGUAAAGGGUGCGUAGGUGGCGUGGUAAGUCUGGUGUGAAAUCCCGGGGCUCAACCCCGGAACUGCACUGGAUACUGCCAUGCUUGAGUACUGGAGAGGAGAUUGGAAUUUACGGUGUAGCAGUGAAAUGCGUAGAUAUCGUAAGGAAGACCAGUGGCGAAGGCGAAUCUCUGGACAGUUACUGACACUGAGGCACGAAGCCAGGGGAGCGAAACGGG